rnacentral:rRNA from 1 species
CAGUAGCCGCGGUAAUACGGAGGGAGCUAGCGUUAUUCGGAAUUACUGGGCGUAAAGCGCACGUAGGCGGCUUUGUAAGUUAGAGGUGAAAGCCUGGUGCUCAACACCAGAACUGCCUUUGAUACUGCAUCGCUUGGAUCCAGGAGAGGUGAGUGGAAUUCCGAGUGUAGAGGUGAAAUUCGUAGAUAUUCGGAAGAACACCAGUGGCGAAGGCGGCUCACUGGACUGGUAUUGACGCUGAGGUGCGAAAGCGUGGGGAGCAAACAGGAUUAGAUACCCGCGUAGUCCCUGUCUCUUAUAC